rnacentral:rRNA from 1 species
AUGAGCAGCGAGCUGUUGUUGCUGCCACCGGAUGCUCCAGCGGCAAAACCUCCAUCGAUUCCCUCCACGGCCACUACCACUACCCUAGCUACCGCCGCCGAUGGAACCACCACCAUAUCCUCGCUCGGCCAAGACCAGCUCCUUGAGAUCUUCCUCCGCCUGCCGAGCCUGCCGGCCCUCGUCCGCGCCACGCUCACUUGCCGCUCGUGGCUUGGCGCCGUCCGCUCCUUCCGCAACCUCUUCUGUGCCCUCCACCCGGUGCCCCUCAUCGGGAUCUUCCUUGAUGUCGACGAAGGCAAUGUCCGCCUAUUCGUCAAUAAGGACAUUACACUGGCCGAUUAA